UACCGAAUAAGUUAUCUAUCCUGUUUCGAUAGGGUCUACUGAUCGGUAACUUCCGGUAUAUGUUGAUCGCGUAUAUGUGUGGGAUUGCGUCUAUGUGUGGGAUUGCGUGUAUGUAUGGGUGUGCGUGUAUGUAUGUGAGUGCGGGUAUUUAUGAGAGUGCGCGUAUGUGUGGUAGUGCGUCUAUGUGUGGGAGUACGUCUAUGUGAGGGAAUGCGUCUAUGUAUGGGAGUGCGUGUAUGUAUGGGAGUGCGUCUAUGCAUGGGAGUGCGUGUAUGUGUGGGAGUGCGUCUAUGUGUGGGAGUGCGUCUGUGUAUGAGGUGCGUGUAUGUAUGGGAGUGCGUGUAUGUAUGAGAGUGCUGGUAUGUGUGGGAGUGCGUCUAUGUGUGGGAGUGCAUCUUUGUGUGGGAGUGCGUGUAUGUAUGGGAGUGCGUGUAUGUAUGAGAGUGCGUGUAUUUAUGAGAGUGUGUGUAUGUAAGGGAUUGCGUCUAUGUGUGGGAGUGCGUCUAUGUAUGGGAGUGCGUGUAUGUAUGGGAGUGCGUUUAUGUAUGAUAGUGCGUGUAUGUAUGGAUAUGCGUCUAUUUGUGGGAUUGCGAGUAUGAAUGGGAGUACGUGUAUGUGUGGAGGUGCGUCUAUGUGUGGGACUGCGUCUAUGUGUGGGAGUGCGUCUAUGUAUGGGAGUGCGUGUAUGUAUGGGAGUGCGUCUAUGUGUGGGAGUGCGUCUAUGUGUGGGAGUGCGUGUAUGUAUUGGAGUGUGUCUAUGUGUGGGAGUGUGUCUAUGUGUGUGAGUGAGUGUCUGUAUGUAAGUGCGUGUAUGUGUGGGAGUGCGUGUAUGUAUGGGAGUGCGUGUAUGUGUGGGAGUGCGUGUAUUUGUGGGAGUGCGUCUAUAUGUGUGAGUGCAUGUAUGUAUGUAAGUGCGUGUAUGUGUGGGAGUGCGUGUAUGCAUGGGAGUGCGUGUAUAUGUGGGAGUGCGUGUAUGUAUGGGAGUGCGUCUAUGUGUGGGAGUGUGUGUAUGUAUAUAAGUGCGUGUAUGUGUGGGAGUGCGUGUAUGUAUGGAAGUGCGUGUAUGUGUGGGAGUGCGUCUAUGUGUGGAAGUGCGUGUAUGUAUAGGAGUGCGUCUGUGUGUGGGAGUGCGUCUAUGUGUGGGAGUGCGUGUUUUUAUGGGAGUGCGUGUAUAAGUUGGAGUGCGUGUAUGUGUGGGAGUGCGUCUAUGUGUGGGAGUGCGCGUAUGUGUGGGAGUGCAUCUAUGUGUGGGAGUGCGUGUAUGUAUGGGAGUUCGUGUAUAUGUGGGAGUGCGUCUAUGUGUGGGAGUGCGUCUAUGUAUGGGAAUGCGUCUAUGUGUGGGCGUGUGUGUAGUAUGGGAGUACGUGUAUGUGUGGGAGUUUGUGUUUGUAUGUAAGUACGUGUUUGUGUGGGAGUGCGUGUAUGUAUGUAAGUGCGUGUAUGUAUAGGAGUGCGUCUAUGUGUGGGAGUGCGUGUAUGUUUGGGAUUGCGUCUUAUGUGUGGGAGUACGUCUAUGUAUUGGAGUGCGUGUAUGUGUGGGAGUGCGUGUAUGUAUGUGAGUGCGUGUAUGUGUGGGAGUGUGUCUAUGUGUGGGAGUGCGUCUAUGUAUGGGAGUGCGUGUAUGUAUGGGAGUGCGUGUAUGCUUGGGAGUGCGUGUAUAUAUGGGAGUGCGUGUAUGUAUGGGAGUGCGUCUAUGUAUUGGAGUGCGUCUAUGUGUUGGAGUGCGUCUAUGUAUGGGAGUUCGUGUAUGUAUGGGAGUGCGUCUAUGUAUGGGAGUGCGUGUUUGUCUGGGACUGCGUGUAUGUAUUGGAGUGCGUGUAUGUGUGGGUGUGUGUGUAUGUAUGGGAGUGCGUGUAUGUAUGUGAGUGAACGUAUGUGUAGGAGUAUGUGUAUGUGUGGACGUGCGUGUAUGUAUGGGCGUGCGUGAAUGUAUAUGCGUGCAUAUAUGUAUGGGAGCGCGUGUAUGUAUGGGAGUGCGUGUAUAUAUGCGGGCGUGCGUGUGUAUAUUUACAUUAUGCUUUGUUUUAUAUUUAUGUAUUGUGAAAAUAUGUUGUCCUUAUGUGCCUUAUAGAGCGUAUUGAAAUAAACACUUAUCAAAAUCAUAACCACGUACAUCUAAUGUUGAUCUCAUCAGACGUUCAGAAGGUACAACCGACAAUACAAGUGACUUAUUCGCACAUGACGGACCACGCCUCUAAACCUAUUUUGGCGAUACGUUUUGAGUACAAUUAGAUAAGAUGUACUGCCAUAAAAACGUGCUAUGCCCAAGAUAUAUUAGGGACAUCGUUAUCCUUGUGUAUACCAUUGACUCUCACAACGACCAACGAUGAACACAGUCUGUGUGGCUAUAAUUGCCUGCUGUUUGGCCUUCGUGGCCGCGGAGAUGUGCACCACGAAUUCUGACUGCGUGGCGACCCAAUGUGCAACUGGAAACACCGUGAUCUGUCAGCACCCUAACAGUACUGACGGCAUCAAACCGAACGGCGGACUGUGCACGUGUCAGGCGCAGGGACAGUGCACGACCCGGGCCGACUGCUUGGGAACCUCCGUCAACCUGCAGUGUCCAGACUCACAGCGCCAUUGCUAUGACAACAACUGCAUCUGUGACCGCUUCCCCAUCGGCAAACGUGCCGCUCUGAAUUAGACAUUCAUACCUCUAUUGUACUGGGUUUAUUUCCAAGAAAUAAACUAUUAUAUAUAAA